rnacentral:rRNA from 1 species
AUUGAACGCUGGCGGCAUGCCUUACACAUGCAAGUCGAACGGCAGCACGGGAGCAAUCCUGGUGGCGAGUGGCGAACGGGUGAGUAAUGUAUCGGAACGUGCCUAGUUGUGGGGGAUAACGUAGAGAAAUUUACGCUAAUACCGCAUACGAUCUAUGGAUGAAAGCGGGGGAUCGCAAGACCUCGCGCAGUUAGAGCGGCCGAUAUCAGAUUAGGUUGUUGGUGGGGUAAAAGGUCACCAAGCCGACGAUCUGUAGCUGGUUAGGGAGAACGACCAGCGACACUGGGACUGAGACACGGCCCAGACUCCUACGGGAGGCAGCAGUGGGGAAUUUUGGACAAUGGGGGCAACCCUGAUCCAGCAAUGCCGCGUGCAGGAAGAAGGCCUUCGGGUUGUAAACUGCUUUUGUACGGAACGAAACGGUCCUUUCUAAUACAGAGGGCUAAUGACGGUACCGUAAGAAUAAGCACCGGCUAACUACGUGCCAGCAGCCGCCGCGG